CAGUAGCCGCGGUAAUACGUAGGGUGCAAGCGUUAAUCGGAAUUACUGGGCGUAAAGCGUGCGCAGGCGGUUAUAUAAGUCAGAUGUGAAAUCCCCGGGCUCAACCUGGGAACUGCAUUUGAGACUGUAUGGCUAGAGUGUGUCAGAGGGGGGUAAAAUUCCACGUGUAGCAGUGAAAUGCGUAGAUAUGUGGAGGAAUACCGAUGGCGAAGGCAGCCCCCUGGGAUAACACUGACGCUCACGCACGAAAGCGUGGGGAGCAAACAGGAUUAGAUACCCCCGUAGUCCCUGUCUCUUAUAA
rnacentral:rRNA from 1 species